GGAGGGCGCGAGCGUUAUUCGGAAUCAUUGGGCGUAAAGCGCGUGUAGGCGGCUGGGCAAGUCGGAUGUGAAAGCCCGGGGCUCAACCCCGGAAUUGCAUUCGAAACUGCUCAGCUAGAGUCUCGGAGAGGAGGGCGGAAUUCCCGGUGUAGAGGUGAAAUUCGUAGAUAUCGGGAGGAACACCAGUGGCGAAGGCGGCCCUCUGGACGAUGACUGACGCUGAGACGCGAAAGCGUGGGGAGCAAACAGGGAUUAGAUACCCUGGUAGUCCACGCCGUAAACGUUGGGUGCUAGGUGUCGCGGGUAUUGACCCCCUGCGGUGCCGUCGUUAACGCAUUUAGCACCCCCGCCUGGGGGAGUACGGUCGCAAGACUA
rnacentral:rRNA from 1 species